GAUGAAGAACGCAGCGAAAUGCGAUAAGUAAUGUGAAUUGCAGAAUUCAGUGAAUCAUCGAAUCUUUGAACGCACAUUGCGCCCCCUGGUAUUCCGGGGGGCAUGCCUGUUCGAGCGUCAUUUCACCACUCAAGCCUCGCUUGGUAUUGGGCAACGCGGUCCGCCGCGUGCCUCAAAUCGACCGGCUGGGUCUUCUGUCCCCUAAGCGUUGUGGAAACUAUUCGCUAAAGGGUGUUCGGGAGGCUACGCCGUAAAACAACCCCAUUUCUAAGGUUAACCUCGGAUCAGGUAGGGAUACCCGCUGAACUUAAGCAUAUCAAUAAGCGGAGGA
rnacentral:misc_RNA from 1 species